rnacentral:lncRNA from 1 species
UGACUUGAAAUGCAGUAGACAGUCCAUGUACAGAGAGAGAAGAAAACGUAUUGCUUUGCUGAAUAUUUAAUAUAAGAUAUGUCAAAAGAGAAGAAAAUAUAAGCUUUUGCUGAUUAUGUUUUGCUUUGCUCCCACCAUCCAUAUGGGCGGAAACUCUAUCUACCGCAAGACGUACUAGUAAUGGAGCAGAAGCAUUCCACGGGGAAUUAUUAUGAACUGUUUUAUGUAUUUCAUCCUUCAAUGUUUGUCUUUUUGGACAAUGAAGUGAAGUUACAAGCUACUACAUACAUUAAAUAAGGAAGUACCCAUGCAGCAGCAGUAAGAAGAAAGUAUGUUUCAGAAAAGGAAACAUUUGCCGUGUAAACUGCCGUUUCCAAGUCCGAAUAAAGGUGGAGGGAAGUCAUUUUUCUUCUAAUUGGCGCAAUCGUAUGAUUUAUUUUUGGCGCAAAUGAUACCAUGUAAUUUUAAAACAGGUGGCGCAAACGUAGCAUUGGAGAAAAAAAGUUGUGGCGCA